AACUGGUCAAGGGCCCUGACCCAUCAGAACGGCAGCACCAGCCAAUCGGAACAGAUGCCAGUCGGAAGCUAUCGGCAUAGCAACGACCCAGGUGACAGGCACAUAGUAAGUUCUGAGAGUUUUAUCAUCCAGCAUGACAUCAUUUGUUGACCUCUAAUAGAUUUAAAACAAUAUUUUAAUUCUUAUUGUGCUACAAGCUUUUAUCAGGAUAGAGUCAUGGGUCUUCAUAACUUGGUCUCAACCUAUUUUCCACGCUUCUAUCUCUCAACAUGCCUCAACACGAAGCUGCCUGAUCAUAAGCCUCCAGCAACUGUCUGUCAGUGAUGGGGCACAUCCAGUCGUGCAAAACAAGGGCUUCAGGAUCUUAAUGUUUCAUUCCUUCUUAUGGGUUACUCUGUGUCUGCAAAAACCUUCCCACUAAUAACAUGGAACACCAUCGAGCUUUCGGGACUUAGCCGAGACAUUCUUUCUGAUGUCUUCCUUGACUAUGUGCUUCCUGUGCACCUCUCAACAAGCAAGAGUUAGCCCCUUUCUCCUUUUCACCAUCCCAGUGGCUCCUGGACACACUUCUGCGUGGUCAGCCUUUCAUACCGUGUUUGUAUUUGGUUGUUUCCAUUUUGUCUGUAUUUGUGUACAGGGAGCUCCUCUACCCUUACCACUGAGUGAGCAGAGGGUUUGAUACUUAGUUAGCACUCAAUACAUAUCUGUUGAAUAAAUGAGAGAGUGAGUAAAUCUCACUCUGAGCAUGAAGAUUUAUCACGUAAAACCGAUACAUUUUAAAAAUGUUAAAUUUUCCUUCCUCUUAACUUACAAUGCCAUGAGGAAGAGCAGAGAAGAGCAUCACUGUUGUGAUUACCUAUUGCUGUUUCCCCACUCCGAGCUAAGUGGUGUAAAACAGUGCUCAUUUAUUAUUAUAUGUCUCAGUUCUGGGAGCUGACUGGGCUCCCGGACAGAUGGAGGCUGAGGCUGAAGUCAUGGGAGGGCUUUCUCACUCACACGCCGAGUGGGGGUGAUGCUAGGUGGGGCUGUCAGCCAGAACACUACAUGUGGCCUCUGCAUGUGCCCUGGGCUUCUACACAGCGUGGCGGCUAGGAUUUAAAAGCACAUGUACUGAGAGAUGGAGAACCAGGGGAAGCUGAAUCACUUUUUAUGAUCUAACCUCAGAAAUAGUGGUUUGCUGGUAAAUGUUUAACAACCACCUGUGUGUGCAUGCGUGUGUGUGUGUGUGUGUGUGUGUGUGUGUGUGUGUGAUCCUAGUCCUUUCUGGCUUCUGCACCAUAGAUAAUCCCACUGUGGCUGUUUCCAGGAUAUUGGCAUGACUUUACUGGGCACGGGGCUAGAGAAAGACAUCCACCCUCACUGGAGAGCCGGUAGCAUGGGCCCCAGCACAUUACUGCUGACCAGUCACAAAGCAUCGCUUCCUCUGUGCUCUGUUGCUUGAAGCGAUCCAAAGAUCCACCCAGGUUCAAGGGGGAGGGUACAGACUCUGCCUCUUGAGAGUGUUUUGAAAGGUCACAGUAUAAGAAAAGUGUAUGGAAUAAGACAGCUCAUUGAGGCCAUCUUUGGGAAAUCCACUCUGCCUCAACCAUCAAGAACAAAGAGAUCCAAAGGAAUGCACAGAAGAAAAGGUGGUGCACAGAAAGUCUCCAGAAGAUAGGCUGGUGUACCUGUGGGAUAUACUUCCAGAAGUGGAAUUGCUGAAUCAAAAGAAGCUCUUUGUAAAAUGGGUGCUGUGAGUACAGCAGGAACAAAACAAAGUCUCCGCCUUCACAAGGCCAACUUCCCAUGAAUGAUCCCUUUCUAUAACUGGUACUGCUAGAAAGAAUUCUCUUCUUUCAAUACAGAGACUGAGGCCAUGGGCAGCAAUGAUUGAUUACGUUGCCAUUGUCUUCUUCUGUGAGCAAUUUUCCGGGUUGACCUACUCUUCCAGGAAAAGAAUCUAUAUUCCUCAUGGAAUAAAUCAAUUUCCAAAAAUAAGGGAAUGUGCACUCUUGCAGUUAUUAAAAAUCAUGUUCUCAGAAAUAUUUAAAGAAACGGGGAAGUGCUUAUGAUACAUUACUGCAUACAAAGGCAAGCCACGAAGCACCAGGCACAGCACAAAACCAGUCUCAUAGAAUAUAUCUAGCCAUAAGCAUAGGAAAAAGAGUGGAAAACUGUACCCCAAAUGUUUAUAGUGGUUACCUCUGAGUACUGGGUUAUGGAUGAUUUUAAUUUUCUUUUUUAUCCUUGCUCUUUUUCCUAAUAUUUUUCACAAUGAAUAUGUAUUUUUCUGAAAAUUGGCAAUAAUGAUCAUACAAAUUUUAAAAAUAAUAUUGAACAGAAUGUAAGCUAAACUUUGUGUCUUGAGUGAACAGGAGCCAUUGAUUUGGUGCAAAGCAGGCAGCACUAGGGAAAAGUUUAUCCUUUUCAAUCCUCUGAGCACAUUGAUGCUGACGCUCAAGUUAUUUUCAGUACUCCAUUCACAUUCAGCAAUAAUAAUUUCAUUUGCCAUUCCCCCCAGAGGCUGUAAGAUUUAUUGGGAACAGCCAACAUUUUAUGAAUCGUGAAUUACAUGAAACCUGGAGAAUACUGUAAGAAUGUAUUCAUGUAAGAAUACAUUCAUGUAAGAAUACUGCAACUCAUCUAAAUCAACUGCAUCUCAAUAAAUUUUUAGUAAACGCAUGGUCAUGCUCCAGGCACUUAGGCCCCAUACCUUAGUCUUGCCCUUACUUCCUCCAUCUUAAUCCCAUGCAACUCUUUUGAUCAGCUAAUGAGUCUUUCUUUGAAAUAUUUCUUGUAGCUAUCUAUUCCUCUCUGACUCCCCAGCUACAAUACCAGUCAUGACUCAGACUAUCUGUUGCCUCCAUUACCACAGCAACCUUCUGUAUCAGACAGGUAUGUGUUCUGAACAAAACUGCGUAAGUUCAAAUGUGGGCUCUACUUCUGCAUGACCUUAGGCAAGUUUCUUGACUUCUCUAUGCAUUUCUUUCUUCUCUUGUAAAAUGGAGUAGCAAUAAUAUCUAAUUUGUUAGUUUGUUGUGAGAAAAUACGUGUAAAAGCACUUAGAACAGCAACUGGGCACAUAGUUAAUGAUCAAUAAAUGCUAGCUAUAUCAAUUAUAUAAUCAAUUUAUUUUCAUCUACUUUGGGCCUUCUGGCCAGGUCAACAAUCUUGAGUUACAUCAUGUCACUCCUUUGGUUAUAAGCCCCCCCUAUGAGUUUUCCACUGGACAGUGGCUGACCAGGUUGUUUCAGACAACAUAUCCUGCUGAGAACAAGUAGCAGUGCUGGACAUCUCAGAAAUACUGAGUCAGGGAGAAGUUUGGAGGCCAAGAUCUGAAUAAGGAAUAAAGUCAGUAGAGAUGAGUGACAUUUGAAGCUGCUUCCAAAAGUGAAAGCAGUGAAUGAAAAGCUAGAGGGUGUGAACGGAAGUUCCAGCAAUAUAAAGGGGCUUGGAGGGCUACAAUUAGAGCUAAGGAUGUAUCAGAGAGGAGAUGUUCUGGAAAACAUCGUAAGCUUUUUUUUUUUUUUUUUUGGAGUAAGAGUCAAUUGGAGAAGCAUAUCUCAUAGAGAUUAAAGCCUAGUUUUAGAACCAUAUCAACUCCUGAUUGGAAUCAAGUAAUCAGCUUCUCUAGCCUCUCUGCUUACUAGAAGCAAAAAUAAGUACCUCUGGAAAAAGAUAACAUCAGUGAAAGUAACCAGCCAUGUAAGAAAACAAGUUUUGGUAGAAAACCAACAGAAGAAAAACAGACAAUGGAAAGACAUCCACAGAAGAUCUGGAUCUUCAAUAAGACAUACACUUUGAACUAUUAUUAACAUGUUCAUGGAAUUAAAAAUCAAGAUGAAUAAACGGGACACAAAAAAACCCCGUGAAAACUGUGUGAAAUAAUCACAUGGAUGUUUUGGACCUGAAUAAUAUUUAGUAAAUAAAAGUAAAGAUU